rnacentral:tRNA from 1 species
GGGGAAUUAGCUCAAGUGGUAAAGCGCUCGCUUGGCAUGUGAGAGGCAGCGGGACCAAUGGCCGCAUUCUCCA